UUCGGCAUUGGGUGAUUGGGAGCCCAGCGGCUGUUGAGCCGCCCGUCCUGGUUCGAGUCCAGGUGCCGAAGCCA
rnacentral:tRNA from 1 species